GAUGAACGCUGGCGGCGUGCCUAAUACAUGCAAGUCGAGCGAACAGACGAGGAGCUUGCUCCUCUGACGUUAGCGGCGGACGGGUGAGUAACACGUGGAUAACCUACCUAUAAGACUGGGAUAACUUCGGGAAACCGGAGCUAAUACCGGAUAAUAUAUUGAACCGCAUGGUUCAAUAGUGAAAGACGGUUUUGCUGGCACUUAUAGAUGGAUCCGCGCCGCAUUAGCUGGUUGGUAAGGUAACGGCUUACCAAGGCGACGAUGCGUAGACGACCGGGGAGGGGGGUAGGCCGCACUAGAGCGUAGACGGGGACCAUAGGCCUGCGGGAGGCAGCAGUAGGGUAUCGGCCGCAGUAGUGGGAAGCCUUACAGAGUGGCGCCGCGUGAGUGAUAAAAGUGUUCGGAGCGGAAAACUCUGUUAUUGGUUAAAAACAAAUUUGUAGUGAACUGUGCACGGCGUGACGGUACCGGGUCAGAAAGCCACGGCUAACUACGUG
rnacentral:rRNA from 1 species